ensembl:lncRNA
UUAGCAACAAGUGUCUUCAAUUUUGAGUCGUUGUGUGUAAUGAAUGACGCCAGGUGUGUUCAUUGUGUUCAAAUAUUGCUGACUGUGGCAAGCAUUUUGCAUCACAUGAGCUUUCAUUUGAGAAUAUGAGCAGAGUUCUUUUGCAACUUGUGUUUUAGCAAGGAAAAAUGUGUUAAGAUUUAUGAGAACGGAGGAUUGUGUUUUGUGAAUUGUGUCUUCAUGUGAAAUGUGUUUAUGAUGUUGGACAAUGAUGGCUAGAUUUAGUAAAUGUGUUUCGACAACUGGUCAUUUGGUUUAGAGGAUUGGCUUUUGUGUUUUGGCAUUUGAGAAAAACUGUAACAUUCUAAUUAUUUAGUCAAGUUACUGAACGCAAGUUCUAAACCAUUGGAGCGAGAAGUUAUAGAAACUGUUAUAGAAACUGAGCUUGAAAAAAACACAGUUGGCCUGAGAUUAAAUACCUACAGUAACCCUUGUUUAUUCUUGUUUCAACAUGUUUGAUUGCUUAAUAUUUUUUGUUUCUUCGUUUAUCCUCAAGUUCUGAUGUUUUGUGCUUCUUCGCAUAUAAACAGUUGAACAGGUGAUGAUGUUUUCUGUAGUUUUGUUCCCGGAGGAGGAUGACUGUGUGGCAGCAGUUCCACGCCAGGAUGGAGCGAGCACAGUACUCCAAGGCACCAGAGAGGUACUCCAUGCCACCAUGUAGAGGAUGGCUACAUAGCAACUCGGGGAAGUGUUAGACUUCAACAAUUUUGGGGGCUCGUCCGGGAUGGAAUAAGGAGAAGGAAUUCGACUUGGUCCAGUUGACCUCUACGGGACUCACAGGUUCCAGUACCGGUACAUCACAAAAAAGAACCAGGUUUCUCCCCAGUAAUCCAGACUCCACUUCACAGAGCCAAGAGUUUGAGUACAAGACACCUGACCUUCUGGAUGAAAGGUGUCGAGCUUGUCGAGUACUAAGCAAAUUUACCCUGGCAGCAUAUGGCUGAAAACACUGGAGUAGGAGAAAGUCAUCACUUUUUUAUUGGCCCUUGGACUCCCCUGGCAUCUCGUGUACUGCAUGAAGUUUUCAGCCAUGAAGAUUUCCAGAGACUCCAGAAUGAAAACCAAGUUCUGCGGGAGGAGAACCAAGCUCUGAGGGAGGAGAACCAAGCCCUGAGGGAAAGCAAUGCACGAGCAGGUGAGAACAUGCACUCUUUCUUAAAUUUCAAUCUACGUUCCUACUCUCACCUAUGGUCAUGAGCUUUGGGUCAUGACCGAAAGGACAAGAUCCCGGAUACAGGCGGCCGAAAUGAGCUUUCUCCGCAGGGUGGCCGGGCGAUCCCUUAGAGAUAGGGUGAGAAGCUCGGUCACCCGGGAGGAGCUCAGAGUAGAGCCGCUGCUCCUCCACAUCGAGAGGGGUCAGCUGAGGUGGCUUGGGCAUCUUUUUCGGAUGCCUCCGGAACGCCUUCCUGGGAAGGUGUUCCGGUCCCGUCCCACCGGGAAGAGACCCCGGGGAAGACCUAGGACACGCUGGAGGGACUAUGUCUCCCGGCUGGCCUGGGAACGCCUCGGUGUCCCCCCGGAAGAGCUAGAGGAAGUGUCUGGGGAGAGGGAAGUCUGGGCAUCCCUGCUUAGACUGCUGCCCCCGCGACCCGGCCCCGGAUAAGCGGAAGAAGAUGGAUGGAUGGAUGGAAUGGAUGGAUUAUCUACCUUUCCUAUACUCUGCGCCUGUGUCCUUCUCCUACCCCGACCGUGACAUCAGUAUUUUUAUGUAUAUAUAUGUCAAGUUUUGUUUAUCACCGGUACAAGAGACACAGAUCUUAUUGCAGCACAGUGUAAAUCUUGUGCCCCAGGCCAGCAAUGCCAUUAUAAUGGUCUAUUCUACUCCAGAGCUUUACUCUAAAUUAUUACCACUUAUCCUAUUGUUAGAAAUGGCAUGUUAUACCUAGAUUUAUUUGGUAUCCUGCACAUUCUUUGGUACCACAUAUCCUCAUUACUUGUUAUAAUGUUUACUGGUAAUUCUUUUCAUCCCAGAGCUGACCUCUUUAUAUUAUUAACAAUUAUUGUGUUAUAAUUUGCUUGUAGGGCUGUUUUUUAACCAAAAUGUUAUUGGAAACCUGCAUGUUCUGU